UAACUAUAUAACGAUGUCUUCCUUUUCUUCAUAGUGGAUUCUUACCUGUGGCUGUUAAUUUUUUACGAAGGGUUCCAAUACUAGGCACUAUUUUAAAUUUUCCAAUCUUAAAUAAGAUUAUUGAUUAUAUUGCUGGAGAUCCAAACAGAUCAAUGGUGUAAAUAAUUAAAUCAAAGUUUUAAUAAAGUUUGUAUAAAAAUAAA